rnacentral:misc_RNA from 1 species
GAUGAAGAACGUAGCGAAAUGCGAUAAGUAAUGUGAAUUGCAGAAUUCAGUGAAUCAUCGAGUCUUUGAACGCACAUUGCGCCCCCUGGUAUUCCGGGGGGCAUGCCUGUCCGAGCGUCAUUGCUGCCCUCAAGCACGGCUUGUGUGUUGGGCCCCCGUCCCCGGUUUCCCCCGGGGACGGGCCCGAAAGGCAGCGGCGGCACCGUGUCCGGUCCUCGAGCGUAUGGGGCUUUGUCACCCGCUCUGUAGGCCCGGCCGGCGCCAGCCGACACCCAACUUUAUUUCUAAGGUUGACCUCGGAUCAGGUAGGGAUACCCGCUGAACUUAAGCAUAUCAAUAAGCGGAGGA